UUAUACUGCAAUACAUAACAAAAGCUUAAGGAUGAGUUUUGAAAGUCGAGGGAAGCAAAACUGAGAUGAAUAACACUGCUCUUUCAUUAUGGAACUGUGAUUCAAAUCAGAUAGGCUCAGGAGCUGCAGGGAAAAUAUGAUCACAUAACUUGCUCCUACACAGGGUAAAUAACACCCUAGGAACCAAGUAUUUUUCUGAACGUGGUUUUUACUAUUAAUCUAAUAAACAACCCUAAAAGGGCUUGGCAUCUUAUACUGCAUUGAGAAGACAUUCUGAGGGAAGGAAAGAGGAGGAAAAAGAACUGCGCAUUUUUCUAAGCAUUAGAGCUGUGCAUCUCCUCACCAAAAAAAAAAAAAACCUUAAUUAAAAAAACAUUCACUAAAAAGUCCUCAAAAGGAAAUACUA
rnacentral:lncRNA from 1 species